rnacentral:rRNA from 1 species
GAUGAACGCUGGCGGCGUGCCUAAUACAUGCAAGUCGAACGCUGGAGAUCUAGCUCGCUAGAUCGAAGGAGUGGCGAACGGGUGAGUAAUACAUAAGCAACCUACCCACGAAGACUGGGAUAAUCUCUGGAAACGGGGACUAAUACCGGAUAGGUAAUCGGAAGGCAUCUUCUGGUUAUUAAAGGUUAAAAACACUGGUGGAUGGGCUUAUGGCGCAUUAGUUAGUUGGUGAGGUAACGGCCCACCAAGACGAUGAUGCGUAGCCGGCCUGAGAGGGUGAACGGCCACAUUGGGACUGAGACACGGCCCAGACUCCUACGGGAGGCAGCAGUAGGGAAUUUUCGGCAAUGGGGGCAACCCUGACCGAGCAACGCCGCGUGAGUGAAGACGGCCUUCGGGUUGUAAAGCUCUGUUGUAAGGGAAGAACGGUAGAUAGAGAAUAUCUAAGUGACGGUACCUUACCAGAAAGCCACGGCUAACUACGUG